UACGGAGGGUGCGAGCGUUGUCCGGAAUCACUGGGCGUAAAGGGCGCGUAGGCGGCAUGCCAAGCGUGUGGUGAAAGCCCGGGGCUCAACCCCGGGUCGGCCGUGCGGACUGGCGUGCUCGAGCACUGUAGGGGCGGGUGGAAUUCCGGGUGUAGCGGUGGAAUGCGUAGAGAUCCGGAAGAACACCGGUGGCGAAGGCGGCCUGCUGGGCAGUAGCUGACGCUGAUGCGCGACAGCGUGGGGAGCAAACAGG
rnacentral:rRNA from 1 species